rnacentral:rRNA from 1 species
AGAACGAACGCUGGCGGCAUGCCUAACACAUGCAAGUCGAACGCGUGUAGCAAUACACGAGUGGCGCACGGGUGAGUAACACGUGGGAACCUGCCCUGGAGUGGGGGAUAACCGAGGGAAACCUCGGCUAAUACCGCAUACGACCUGAGGGUGAAAGAUUUAUCGCUCUAGGAGGGGCCCGCGUCGGAUUAGCUAGUUGGUGAAGUAAUGGCUCACCAAGGCUAUGAUCCGUAGCUGGUCUGAGAGGAUGAUCAGCCACACUGGGACUGAGACACGGCCCAGACUCCUACGGGAGGCAGCAGUGGGGAAUAUUGGACAAUGGGGGCAACCCUGAUCCAGCAAUGCCGCGUGAGUGAUGAAGGCCUUAGGGUUGUAAAGCUCUUUCGGCGGGGACGAUGAUGACGGUACCCGCAGAAGAAGCCCCGGCUAACUUCGUGCCAGCAGCCGC